rnacentral:ncRNA from 1 species
UCGAGGACAUUUUCAGAUAGGGAUAAUAACGGAGGUGUCCCAAGUCCGGCUCAGGGCGGACGGACAUCACACAUAGAGCAAAGGACAAAAACUGAUUUGAUCUCUUCAGUGUUCAGUACACAUAGGGACAGCAAAAGCUCUGCCUAUUGACCCUUUUGAGUCAAGGAGUUUUUAACGAGAG